GGGUCUCAAGACCAAAAUGAAAAAACCCUAAAAGGUCCUUAGAUGAAGCUACGGUUAAUGUUUUAAAUGAUUCCGGUUGCCGUCACAACUCCCGUUUGGCACGUAUUGGAGCCUAUCCGUCGCGGCUGAGCUCGCGUCGCCACCUUCGUCAACUUCGUUGCUGCGACACGCAGUCUCUUCUCCUCACAGCGGAAUCGAAACGGUGGUCGUGAAGAGGCAAACGCUCCACAUCAACAGUUCAGGCCUCGUGAAUUUAACAACUAACUACGUGGGUUAAAGCGAACUUACCGGCUUCGACGCGUUGUUGAUGUUGAAUAAUGAAGAUGGAUGAAGAUGGAUGAUGCAGGUGAAUUCUCGAUGAAGGGUUCGAAGAAUUGAGGGAAGGGGGAGAUUCGAAGGUUCUGUUAUGGUGGUUCUUGGAAGGUCAUUUGAAGAUUGAAGACGGUUUGAGGGCGAGUGAAGUUGACAUAAGAUGAAGAUUGAAGGAUGAUGAAGAUUGAAGGAUGAUGAAGAUUGAAGGAUGAUGAAGAUUGAAGAAUGAACCAUCCUCUUGAAGAUGCAAAAAGGCUCAUGGAAGUAAAAAUUAUUCCAUCACAAGGAAUGCGAGAGCUUGAAAGAAAUUUGGCAAUGACUUAGUUGGAAUAUGGAUGCUCCAUGAGUUGCUUGGACUUGAAGAAAAUAUGCCAUGAAUUAAGAGAUUAGAAGUCAAAAUAUGUUAUGUUAAGUUGUAAUUGUAUUUUUUGGUUUAAUCUUUGUAAUAUUCAAUGUAAGGCCAUAGAUUAAUGUUUAUGGAUAUUUGACAAGUGCAUGGAACUUGAAUAUUUGGAAAUUGGAAUGAUGAAAGUUAUUUGGAAA